AGAGUUUGAUCCUGGCUCAGAUUGAACGCUGGCGGCAUGCCUUACACAUGCAAGUCGAGCGGCAGCGCGGGGGCAACCCUGGCGGCGAGCGGCGCACGGGUGAGUAAUGCAUCGGAACGUGUCCUCUUGUGGGGGAUAACCAGUCGAAAGACUGGCUAAUACCGCAUGAGAUCGAGAGAUGAAAGCAGGGGACCCGCAAGGGCCUUGCGCGAGAGGAGCGGCCGAUGCCGGAUUAGCUAGUUGGCGGGGUAAAAGCCCACCAAGGCAACGAUCCGUAGCUGGUUUGAGAGAACGACCAGCCACACUGGGACUGAGACACGGCCCAGACUCCUACGGGGGGCAGCAGUGGGGAAUUUUGGACAAUGGGGGCAACCCUGAUCCAGCCAUGCCGCGUGUGUGAAGAAGGCCUUCGGGUUGUAAAGCACUUUCGGCCGGAACGAAAUCGCACGGGUGAAUAUCCCGUGUGGAUGACGGUACCGGAAGAAGAAGCACCGGCUAACUACGUGCCAGCAGCCGCGGUAAUACGUAGGGUGCGAGCGUUAAUCGGAAUUACUGGGCGUAAAGUGUGCGCAGGCGGCCGAGCAAGUCGAGUGUGAAAGCCCCGAGCUUAACUUGGGAACUGCGCUCGAAACUACUUGGCUAGAGUGUGGCAGAGGGAGGUGGAAUUCCACGUGUAGCGGUGAAAUGCGUANAGAUGUGGAGGAA
rnacentral:rRNA from 1 species